CUGGUGGCCGCACGGCCUCCCAGGCAGGCCCGCAGUCACGUGCGGGGACCCGGGGUCGGGCUGCUGGGAGGGGGCCCAGCGCGCAGCUCGGAGCUCUGCGGCCUAUACUACGAGGUCGGGUAGUGGCUGCGGCGCCUGCAGGACCAGCUGGCCGCCUGCGACUCCCUCAUCGCGUGUCUCCGCGCCCGGCUGACCGCGCUGGAGGGGGACACUGCGCGGUCCCUGGUGGACGCGCUGCUGGAGCAGGUGGCCCGCUUCCGGGAGCAGCUGCAAUAGCAGGAGGACGGCGCCGCGGAGGCCCAGAUGCACCAGGAAAUAGGAAGUUGAGAGGCUUACUGAGCGGCUAGGAGUGAAAGAGAAGGAGAUGCAGCAGCUGCUGAGCCAGCCACAGCACGAGGGAGAGAAGGAAGUUGUCCUGAUGCGGAGGAGCAUGGAGGAGGGGAAACCGGCCCGGCGGGCCAGUGACGUUCUGUGCCUCUCUUUGGCCGACGAGACCCACCAACUGCGGAGGACGCUGACCUCCACUGCCCACAUGUGUCAGCAUCUGACCAAGUGUCUGGAUGAACGACAGCAUGCACAAAGGAACGUGGGGGAGAGAAGUCCUGAAAGUCAGAACAUACAGGUGGGGACACCUCUGUUCAGAGUGUUAUUGAGGAAGAAAAUCGACUGUUAAAACAGAAGGUGACUCACGUUGAAGACCUCAAUGCCAAGUGGCAGCGAAUCGAUGUCAGCAGGGACGAAUACGUGAGGGGGCUCCAUGCACAGCUCAGGGGGCUGCAGACCCUCCAGGAGCCCGAGCUGAUGAGGAAGAUCUCCCAGCUCAACAGGUAGUUGGAAGAGAAAAUAAACGACUGUGCAGAAGUGAAGUAGAAGCUGGCGGCCUCAAGGACGGCCCCAGAUGCUGCACUGGAAUGGAUGCAGAUACUGGAACAGCAGAUUCUCGCUUACAAGGAUGACUUCAUGUCAGAAAGGGCAGAUCCGGAACGGGCUCAAGGUAGGAAUCAGGAACUGGAGGAAAAGGUCACCUCUUUGCUGCACCAGGCGUCCUGGAGACAGGAUUCUCAAGAGCCAGAUGCCUGCUGGAUUCAUGCUGGGAGCAAAACUGCCAAGUACUUGGCCACCGAUGCAGUGGAGCUUAUUGCGCCUGGUGGCUGGAGGCCUGGGACUGGGUCCCAGCAGUUGGAACCCCCUGCAGAGGGCGGGCAUCCUGGCACAGCCCAGAGAGGCCAGGGGGACCUUCAGUGCCCUCACUGCCUGCAGUGCUUCUGUGACUAACAAGGUAAAGAGCUCCUCAGGCAUGUGGCCGAGUGCUGCCAGUGA